UACGUAGGGUGCAAGCGUUGUCCGGAAUUAUUGGGCGUAAAGAGCUCGUAGGCGGUCUGUUGCGUCGGCUGUGAAAACCCGGGGCUCAACCCCGGGCCUGCAGCCGAUACGGGCAGACUAGAGUUCGGCAGGGGAGACUGGAAUUCCUGGUGUAGCGGUGAAAUGCGCAGAUAUCAGGAGGAACACCGGUGGCGAAGGCGGGUCACUGGACCACAACUGACGCUGAGGCGCGAAAGCGUGGGGAGCAAACAGG
rnacentral:rRNA from 1 species